rnacentral:rRNA from 1 species
AACGAACGCUGGCGGCAUGCCUAACACAUGCAAGUCGAACGAGACCUUCGGGUCUAGUGGCGCACGGGUGCGUAACGCGUGGGAACCUGCCCUUAGGUUCGGAAUAACUCCCCGAAAGGGGUGCUAAUACCGGAUAAUGUCUUCGGACCAAAGAUUUAUCGCCUUUGGAUGGGCCCGCGUUGGAUUAGCUAGUUGGUAGUGUAAAAGCCUACCAAGGCGACGAUCCAUAGCUGGUCUGAGAGGAUGAUCAGCCACACUGGGACUGAGACACGGCCCAGACUCCUACGGGAGGCAGCAGUGGGGAAUAUUGGAAAAUGGGCGAAAGCCUGAUCCAGCAAUGCCGCGUGAGUGAUGAAGGCCUUAGGGUUGUAAAGCUCUUUUAACUGGGAUGAUAAUGACAGUACCGGGAGAAUAAGCUCCGGCUAACUACGUG